AAUUACUAUGUGUACCCUAAUAAUAUACUUACUAAUUGAAAAUAAGAUCAAAUAUGUUGUAUAAACAACUCCUCGAUAUAUGUUUAUCUUAAAAGGAAUGCAAUAAAUCGUCUGUUUAACUUAUAAUAUUGAUUGUAAACACACCGUGUGUCACCAAAUUACAAAGCUAUAAUCUAUACGUUUAAUGGUUUUAAAAUUUUUUAUGAAUUACAGCGUAAUUCUCAAUAAACUGUUUCAACAAAAACUGACACAUAUGUCGUCUGCGAAACGUUCUAUACUAAGGUCAUUAAGUGCAGACGGAUUACAGCGUAAUUCUCAAUAAACUGUUUCAACAAAAACUAUUUAUCAACACCGGUGUCAUUUUCAAGUUUAUCAAUAUCAACAACUUUAAACAAAUAUUGGUUUAAUGCACCGGUGCCGCUUUAUUGAUUAUUGCAAAUAACAGCUGAUCAAAGGAAUGUGAUAAUGAAUCGUCUGUUUAACUGCGGUAUAAUAGUUAGUAUAUAAAUAAGAAAUUCGGAAGUAAUAUUACAGGAGAAACAAUGUCGGCAAAAACUGUUUUGGUCCUCACGCUUGUUGCAAACAUUAUGUCAGCAUCACUUGCCUAUAGGGACUAUUGUAUCCGAGAAGACAAUAAUGCACACUAUAAUAUCGGCGAGUUUUAUUGGAAUGAUUGCAAUAGAUGCACGUGUAGCGGCGGAGGAUACUCCAAUCCACAGUUUGCUUGCACUUUGAAAGCGUGCCCUCCUGGAUAUGCUUAGGCAAAGCAAGGCAGGAACAAGUCUAAUUCUAAUUGGAACUGGAGUAUAUAUCUGAAUAAAAUCUUCAAAAAAUCA